ensembl:lncRNA
AUUUCUGUUCGGAGAUGAUUGUGACAUCCCUGGAGAUGUAACAAUACUUCCCUGGUGCUGCAUGAGAUCCACCCGACCCUCCAGUAAAGUGCUCAUCCCCAAGGGACAUAACUCGCUCCCCUUCCCAUUGUCAUCCACUAUCUAUGCGGUCUGGAGGGGACUGGCGCGUGGUUGACAGCUGGGAGAGGAAUGAAGUCCGCUUCUGUAGCAGCUGGCAGGGGCUCCAGGGGAGCUGAGGCUAACGGGCCUGCCUCGCUCCAACCUCCCCUCCUACUGCCUGGAUUACUAACGAGCUGUCCCAGGUUACUGGCAAUGCUAGAAGGCCCCGUGGCUCCACAAUGGCCCAGAUAACUCCUUCUAGGCACGAGAGACAGUAAGGCCAAAUUCCCCGGGUGGAAAUAAAAGGAAGAGUGUCGUACCUAGGUUACACUUAAAGGAAGCUUUUUGAAGAAACAAAGAUAAAAUUCCUCUAGGGAAUUCAGUUAAAUGACUCCCUCUCCCCAAAAAUAGAGGAAAAGAAUCUUGGCUUUAAUCUUCACCCAAGAAGAUGGCAAGAAGCUCAAUGUAUGUAUAUAGACUCUAGAGGCGGUUCUGAAAAAAUUGGGGCACAAUUGUUGGAAUACUGAGAGGCAAAAAUAUAAACCUCAAGGUUUUCAUGUAUCUUCUACUAAAUUAAUUGGAUCAAUGCUGAGUCAUUUCCCCCUUUGCCGAGGUAGAAACCAAAGUGGUUCUUGUGAGAUGACGGAAAACCUAGUUAAUCCACCCGACCCCAUAACAAGGAUUUCUCUGAACUUGCCCCAGGCCGGAUGGUCCCAACUCACCUUCUUGGUGACCCUCUAUUAACAUAUGUAAAGACUUUCAAAGUGACUUCUAAAGCUGUCCUGUUUUGUUUAAAGGCUGCUGACAGCUUUCUGACUCCAUUCCCAAGCCUGAACUUAUGAAUUUAUUGCAUUGCUAUCCUGUGAAGACUAAACCAGAUCUAGGUAAUUUCAGGCUAUUAAUGGAAAUUAUUUCAGUCUCCGUUACCUCAGUUCUCCCCAGCACGCAUCCCACACUCACACUCUCUGGCCCCAGCUACUCUAUGCCUUCACCACCACGCUAUGGCUCAUGGAACAUGGUGUUUCUCAGGGCAAAACAGCUGGGUAACCAACAGGGGUACUGUUUAAGAUGUAUAAUCAAGAGCCCAAGGAUGGCUGAGGAGAAGACAGGUCAACCCUCUCAGGAGAAAGUCAGGAUGCUCUGCCCAGUUUCCAGACCUAAGCUGCUUCUCAGACCCAGAAUCCGUUGACUGAAGGAGAAGCUAAGUCCUCAUGAGGGUGGAUCCUGCAACCACAGAGCAAGAGUCAGUCCUUCCUCAAGGACCUACGCCCGCUAAUUCAGGAAAAGAAGCCGUCUUUGGUUGAACUUGGAGCUGGGAGUGUGUACUCCUGAGGCUACCGGCAGCCAUCUUGACAUUGUGAGGAGAAAACCUGCUUGAGAGUGGAACCAACUCAGAGGAAAAUAAAACUGAAAGACCAAAAAAGGACCAGAUUCUGAUGAUCCAUUGUGCCUGGAUCCAAUUGUGCCUGAAACUCUCCCUGGAAUUUUUGCUCAUUGAGGCAACACAUCUCUUUUUAUGUGUGUGAUUAACUCAGUCUGAGUUGAAUUUUUUUGUUGCAGCUGAAGGGUUCCAUGUAAUACUGUCCACAGUUGGACAGACCCUUUCUUAAUCGCCAUACGUCUUAAGGAGGAAUUCAUCUGGAGUUAUGGGAAUGAUGGAUGCUGCCUGUCCUAACGCAGGAAUGCUGUGCCCUGCUCCCCUGUUGUCCCUGAGCCCGGAGGCCCGAGGGGGAGGCUUCAGUGCUGGGGCACUGGGCUGUUUCAUGGAGAGUCACGGUCAGUUGUGCAUCUGCUUUGGAAGAGUAUUUUUAGCGGCAAUAGAGUGGUUUGCAAAUAAACAAAUGCCCGGAACAAAUGCUGAGAAGGAGAGCGCCUGUGUGCGGCCCGCUGUCAAACUAGGUCAGCCUCAGGCACAGCGACUCUUGACAGUUUGCUCCCGAAGGUGGCCCGCAGGUGCCGGCUCCCUUCCCCGCCAAUCAGCCAUCUGUGGUUUGAGACUCACAGGCCUGGGAGAGACUGGAGAUGCCCUCAGCUCUGUGGCCCGCCCUGCCACAUGGGUGUACACCCGCCCCAACCCAGAACCCAGUGGGGUGGAAAACCCUUGAAUUCCCCAAAGUGAACCCCCAGUGCUUUGCUCUGUCAGCAAUUCCAGGCGAUGUGGUCCUUGCAAGUGGCAAAUGUGCGAGUCUAGAGGGCAGAGUAACCACUUUGGAACCAGGCACACCUGACAUCAACUCCCCGCUCUGCUGUGGCACCUGGAAAGAACUGGAAUCUCUGCAUCUUCCUGGCUGACUAAGGAUGCCAUCCUACGGAUUUAGUGAUCUCAUUCCCCAGCACGUAGGAAGUUUUCCACCAGGGUGACUCUCCUUUUCCCCCUUGCUCAAUUCUGAGCUUCCUGAGGGGCAGGUGGAGGCCAUCCUAUUGAUCUCUGCACGCCCCCACCAAGGCCUGCACACAGUAAGUGCUCAAUAAAUGCUGAGCGCUCGUAUGACUGAAUCACAUCUUCCCACACUCGGCUGUAUGGCCUCAGCUGGGGCCACGCUGGGGGCCUCAGGUCUCCCUGACUCUGAGGCUCUCUAUUUCAGCUGUCCCACUCAAAGCCGGCAUGAGACUUCUCUGAGUUGAUGGGGACCCCCGUUUGUUUGUUCCACUGAGACCUACGUGGGGUGAGGGCUGAUGCCUCAAAGCAGAGAUCUCAAGAACCUCAGUAGGUACAGCCUACAGAUGUGACUGAUCACACCACUCCCCCGCUUGGAACCUUCUAGUAGCUUUCCCUGGCUUUGAGGGAAAAAGUCUAAACUCAUCACCAUAAUAGCCAAACCCCUAGUGAUCUGGCCUCAUUGUGUGAACAGUGUUGCCCUCACACUCCAGUCAGCACGGCCCUCCUCGCUGUUCCUCAGACACACGGAGCUUGUCUGCCUCUGCCAUUUCCUCAGUCUGGAACGUUCCGCCCUUGGCCUUGUGUGAGGCUAGCUCCUUCUCUCACUCAGGGCUCACCUCGGUUGCUUCCUCCUCUGAGGCACCUCCCCUGUCCUCCCUGCCCAAGGGGGACCCUCCGUGCAUCUCUGUCCUGUCCACCUCACCGAACAUAACAUCCUCCAAAAUUAUCUUGUGCCCUUUUGUGUGUUUCUUGUCUGCCUCUCUCCCCAACUCAAAUGCUUGUCCGUUUUGUUCUCAUCUUAUGCCUAGUGGUGAGAAUAGCGCUGGCGUAUGAUGAAAGCUCAACACACAGUUGCUGAAAGAAUGAGUGAGUGAAUGAAUAAAAACAGAGGGUGGAGGAGCAGGCCCUUCAGGACUGGGGCAUCCCAUGCUUCAUGGAAAAUGCAGUUGUCUGGCAUGGGCAGCCAGCUGGAAGGCCCUGGCUUCCAGGACUGGUGGAGGAGGACAGACCAGGCGAGGGCAGGGCCAGACUCUGGGCCCAGCAGCAGGGGCAGGUCCGGUAGGGUUCCUAACAGGUGAUUGGUCACCACUUGGGAGUGGGGCCUCCCCAGGCUGGGAGAGGAGUCUGUGAGCUGGGCAUAGGACAUGGCUGUUUUGUCUGCCCAGCCUCCAUUCUCCCCUCUUCUGGCAAAUGGUCCCUGGUUUUCCUUGAGGGGCCAGCUCUCCUUCACUCCCAAUCUAUGUGAUCUGGAGAACCUUCUUCCUCCCCUCCCACCCUCCAUCCAGGGCGAGCAUCUGACCCGGGGCCGGCUGUUCAGCUCAUCCCACCUCUUGGCCACAGUGACUGGUACAAGGUUGGCCCAAGCAAAGCCCAUCCUGGGGCUUUUGUUGGAGCAACUGGAUAAGAAGUGAGCAGAGGAGAGCAGAACCAGGAGAGGGGAGGGGAAGACUGGGGAG